AGGACGAACGCUGGCGGCGUGCUUAACACAUGCAAGUCGAGCGGUAAGGCCUUUCGGGGUACACGAGCGGCGAACGGGUGAGUAACACGUGGGUGAUCUGCCCUGCACUUCGGGAUAAGCCUGGGAAACUGGGUCUAAUACCGGAUAUGACCUCCUAUCGCAUGGGUGGGUGGUGGAAAGAUUUAUCGGUGCAGGAUGGGCCCGCGGCCUAUCAGUCUUGGUUGGGUGGGGUAAUGGCCUACCGAAGGCGACGACGGGUAGCCGACCUGAGAGGGUGACCGGCCACACUGGGACUGAGACACGGCCCAGACUCCUACGGGAGCAGCAGUGGGGAAUAUGGACAAGUGGGCAAAGCCUGAUCCAGCCAUGCCGCGUGUGUGAAGAAGGUCUUCGGAUUAGUAAAGCUACGUUUAAGGUGGGAAGGUAAGGUUGUAAACCCAGUACGU
rnacentral:rRNA from 1 species